rnacentral:pre_miRNA from 1 species
AGUGCAAUUGCUGGGUUGUAAGGUAAGUGUAUGUUUCGUUUUAAAAAAAAUUGUGAAAUUGUUUCCCAGAGAGGCUGUACCAUUUUACAUUCCCACCAGCAAG